rnacentral:rRNA from 1 species
AGCGACGUAAUGGCGGGGACUCUAGGAAGACUGCCGGUGCCAAACCGGAGGAAGGUGGGGACGACGUCAAGUCAUCAUGGUCCUUACGUCUAGGGCUACACACGUGCUACAAUGGAUCGGACAGUGGGGGCCGAGGCAGCAAUGCCAAGGCAAUCCCAAAACCGGUCCUCAGUUCGGAUUGUCGUCUGCAACUCGACGGCAUGAAGCUGGAAUCGCUAGUAAUCGUGGAUCAGCAUCGCCACGGUGAAUACGUUCCCGGGC